AUGCAGUCGAGGGGUAUUUAUCUUCGGAUAGAGAGACCGGCGCACGGGUGCGUAACGCGUAUGCAAUCUACCUUUUACAGAGGGAUAGCCCAGAGAAAUUUGGAUUAAUACCUCAUAGUAUAUAGACUCGGCAUCGAGAUUAUAUUAAAGUCACAACGGUAAAAGAUGAGCAUGCGUCCCAUUAGCUAGUUGGUAAGGUAACGGCUUACCAAGGCUACGAUGGGUAGGGGUCCUGAGAGGGAGAUCCCCCACACUGGUACUGAGACACGGACCAGACUCCUACGGGAGGCAGCAGUGAGGAAUAUUGGACAAUGGGCGCAAGCCUGAUCCAGCCAUGCCGCGUGCAGGAUGACGGUCCUAUGGAUUGUAAACUGCUUUUAUACGAGAAGAAACACUACUUCGUGAAGUAGCUUGACGGUAUCGUAAGAAUAAGGAUCGGCUAACUCCGUGCCAGCAGCCGCGGUAAUACGGAGGAUCCAAGCGUUAUCCGGAAUCAUUGGGUUUAAAGGGUCCGUAGGCGGUUUAAUAAGUCAGUGGUGAAAGCCCAUCGCUCAACGGUGGAACGGCCAUUGAUACUGUUAGACUUGAAUUAUUAGGAAGUAACUAGAAUAUGUAGUGUAGCGGUGAAAUGCUUAGAGAUUACAUGGAAUACCAAUUGCGAAGGCAGGUUACUACUAAUUGAUUGACGCUGAUGGACGAAAGCGUGGGUAGCGAACAGGAUUAGAUACCCUGGUAGUCCACGCCGUAAACGAUGGAUACUAGCUGUUGGGAGCAAUCUCAGUGGCUAAGCGAAAGUGAUAAGUAUCCCACCUGGGGAGUACGUUCGCAAGAAUGAAACUCAAAGGAAUUGACGGGGGCCCGCACAAGCGGUGGAGCAUGUGGUUUAAUUCGAUGAUACGCGAGGAACCUUACCAAGGCUUAAAUGUAGAUUGACCGGUUUGGAAACAGAUCUUUCGCAAGACAAUUUACAA
rnacentral:rRNA from 1 species